rnacentral:rRNA from 1 species
UACGGAGGGGGCUAGCGUUGUUCGGAGUUACUGGGCGUAAAGGGCGCGUAGGCGGCGCACCAAGUCAGGCGUGAAAGCCCUGGGCUCAACCCGGGAAUUGCGCUUGAGACUGGUGUGCUCGAGUACGGGAGAGGAUAGUGGAAUUCCCAGUGUAGAGGUGAAAUUCGUAGAUAUUGGGAAGAACACCGGUGGCGAAGGCGGCUAUCUGGACCGUAACUGACGCUGAGGCGCGAAAGCGUGGGGAGCAAACAGG